rnacentral:rRNA from 1 species
AUUGAACGCUGGCGGCAUGCCUUACACAUGCAAGUCGAACGGCAGCGCGGACUUCGGUCUGGCGGCGAGUGGCGAACGGGUGAGUAAUACAUCGGAACGUACCCUGUGGUGGGGGAUAACUAGUCGAAAGAUUAGCUAAUACCGCAUACGACCUGAUGGUGAAAGUGGGGGACCGCAAGUCCUCACGCAGCAGGAGCGGCCGAUGUCUGAUUAGCUAGUUGGUGGGGUAAAGGCCCACCAAGGCGACGAUCAGUAGCUGGUCUGAGAGGACGAUCAGCCACACUGGGACUGAGACACGGCCCAGACUCCUACGGGAGGCAGCAGUGGGGAAUUUUGGACGAUGGGGGCAACCCUGAUCCAGCAAUGCCGUGUGUGUGAAGAAGGCCUUCGGGUUGUAAAGCACUUUUGUCCGGAAAGAAAUCGCGCUGGUUAAUACCUGGCGUGGAUGACGGUACCGGAAGAAUAAGCACCGGCUAACUACGUGCCAGCAGCCGCCGUAA